rnacentral:rRNA from 1 species
GAUUCGUCACACUAUCAUUAACUGAAUCCAUAGGUUAAUGAGGCGAACCGGGGGAACUGAAACAUCUAAGUACCCCGAGGAAAAGAAAUCAACCGAGAUUCCCCCAGUAGCGGCGAGCGAACGGGGAGGAGCCCAGAGCCUGAAUCAGCAUGUGUGUUAGUGGAAGCGUCUGGAAAGGCGCGCGAUACAGGGUGACAGCCCCGUACACAAAAGCGCAUGUGCUGUGAGCUCGAUGAGUAGGGCGGGACACGUGGUAUCCUGUCUGAAUAUGGGGGGACCAUCCUCCAAGGCUAAAUACUCCUGACUGACCGAUAGUGAACCAGUACCGUGAGGGAAAGGCGAAAAGAACCCCGGCGAGGGGAGUGAAAAAGAACCUGAAACCGUGUACGUACAAGCAGUGGGAGCACAGGUUUACCUGUGUGACUGCGUACCUUUUGUAUAAUGGGUCAGCGACUUAUAUUCUGUAGCAAGGUUAACCGAAUAGGGGAGCCGGAGGGAAACCGAGUCUUAAUUGGGCGUUAAGUUGCAGGGUAUAGACCCGAAACCCGGUGAUCUAGCCAUGGGCAGGUUGAAGGUUGGGUAACACUAACUGGAGGACCGAACCGACUAAUGUUGAAAAAUUAGCGGAUGACCUGUGGCUGGGGGUGAAAGGCCAAUCAAACCGGGAGAUAGCUGGUUCUCCCCGAAAGCUAUUUAGGUAGCGCCUCGUGAAUUCAUCUCCGGGGGUAGAGCACUGUUUCGGCUAGGGGGCCAUCCCGGCUUACCAACCCGAUGCAAACUGCGAAUACCGGAGAAUGUUAUCACGGGAGACACACGGCGGGUGCUAACGUCCGUCGUGAAGAGGGAAACAACCCAGACCGCCAGCUAAGGUCCCAAAGUCAUGGUUAAGUGGGAAACGAUGUGGGAAGGCCCAGACAGCCAGGAUGUUGGCUUAGAAGCAGCCAUCAUUUAAAGAAAGCGUAAUAGCUCACUGGUCGAGUCGGCCUGCGCGGAAGAUGUAACGGGGCUAAACCAUGCACCGAAGCUGCGGCAGCGAACGUAUCACCCAAGACAACUUUACGGAGUUGACGAUUGACGGAGCGAAGCGACGUCAAAGCGUUCAUUAAAGUCGAGUUGGCUUAGGGAUACGUUCGUUGGGUAGGGGAGCGUUCUGUAAGCCUGUGAAGGUGUGUCGUGAGGCAUGCUGGAGGUAUCAGAAGUGCGAAUGCUGACAUAAGUAACGAUAAAGCGGGUGAAAAGCCCGCUCGCCGGAAGACCAAGGGUUCCUGUCCAACGUUAAUCGGGGCAGGGUGAGUCGACCCCUAAGGCGAGGCCGAAAGGCGUAGUCGAUGGGAAACGGGUUAAUAUUCCCGUACUUGGUGUUACUGCGAAGGGGGGACGGAGAAGGCUAUGUUGGCCGGGCGACGGUUGUCCCGGUUUAAGCGUGUAGGUGUGUGUUCCAGGUAAAUCCGGUUCACUUUAACACUGAGGCGUGACGACGAGGCACUACGGUGCUGAAGCAACAAAUGCCCUGCUUCCAGGAAAAGCCUCUAAGCAUCAGGUAACACGAAAUCGUACCCCAAACCGACACAGGUGGUCAGGUAGAGAAUACCAAGGCGCUUGAGAGAACUCGGGUGAAGGAACUAGGCAAAAUGGUGCCGUAACUUCGGGAGAAGGCACGCUGACACGUAGGUGAAGUGAUUUACUCAUGGAGCUGAAGUCAGUCGAAGAUACCAGCUGGCUGCAACUGUUUAUUAAAAACACAGCACUGUGCAAACACGAAAGUGGACGUAUACGGUGUGACGCCUGCCCGGUGCCGGAA